AACACGGAAGUUAAGCUCUUCAGCGCCGAUGGUAGUCGGGGGUUUCCCCCUGUGAGAGUAGGACAUCGCCAGGC
rnacentral:rRNA from 1 species